rnacentral:rRNA from 1 species
CAUGCCGCGUGAAGGAUGAAGGCCCUCUGGGUUGUAAACUUCUUUUAUCUGGGACGAAAAAAGGGAAUUCUUUCCCACUUGACGGUACCAGAGGAAUAAGCACCGGCUAACUCCGUGCCAGCAGCCGCGGCAAUACGGAGGGUGCAAGCGUUAUCCGGAUUCACUGGGUUUAAAGGGUGCGUACGUGGGCAGGUAAGUCAGUGGUGAAAUCUCCGAGCUUAACUCGGAAACUGCCAUUGAUACUAUCUGUCUUGAAUAUCCUGGAGGUGAGCGGAAUAUGUCAUGUAGCGGUGAAAUGCUUAGAUAUGACAUAGAACACCAAUUGCGAAGGCAGCUCACUACGGGAUGAUUGACGCUGAGGCACGAAAGCGUGGGGAUCAAAACAGGAUUAGAUACCCUGGUAGUCCACGCCCUAAACGAUGGAUACUCGACAUACGCGAUACACUGUGUGUGUCUGAGCGAAAGCAUUAAGUAUUCCAACUGAGA